rnacentral:rRNA from 1 species
UGGGGAAUAUUGCACAAUGGAGGGAACUCUGAUGCAGCGACGCCGCGUGAGUGAUGAAGGAAUUCGUUUCGUAAAACUCUGUUCUAUGGGAAGAAAAGGACUGUACCAUAGGAGAAAGCUCCGGCUAAAUACGUGCCAGCAGCCGCGGUAAUACGUAUGGAGCGAGCGUUGUCCGGAAUUAUUGGGCGUAAAGGGUGCGCAGGCGGCUUUACAAGUUGGAUGUGAAAUAUUGUGGCUCAACCACAAACGUGCAUCCAAAACUGCAAAGCUUGAGUUAAGGAGAGGUAAGUGGAAUUCCUGGUGUAGCGGUGGAAUGCGUAGAUAUCAGGAGGAAUACCGGUGGCGAAGGCGACUUACUGGACUUAAACUGACGCUCAGGCACGAAAGCGUGGGGAGCAGACAGG